rnacentral:rRNA from 1 species
UGACCUCGGAUCAGGUAGGGAUACCCGCUGAACUUAAGCAUAUCAAUAAGCGGAGGAAAAGAAACCAACAGGGAUUGCCUCAGUAACGGCGAGUGAAGCGGCAACAGCUCAAAUUUGAAAUCUGCCUCUAGGCCGAGUUGUAAUUUGUAGAAGAUGCUUUGGGUGUGGCACUGGUCUAAGUUCCUUGGAACAGGACGUCAUAGAGGGUGAGAAUCCCGUACGUGACUGGCUGCCUUCGCCCGUGUAAAGCUCUUUCAACGAGUCGAGUUGUUUGGGAAUGCAGCUCAAAAUGGGUGGUAUAUUUCAUCUAAAGCUAAAUAUUGGCCA